GAAUGCUGACAUAAGUAACGAUAAAGCGGGUGAAAAGCCCGCUCGCCGGAAGACCAAGGGUUCCUGUCCAACGUUAAUCGGGGCAGGGUGAGUCGACCCCUAAGGCGAGGCCGAAAGGCGUAGUCGAUGGGAAACGGGUUAAUAUUCCCGUACUUGGUGUUACUGCGAAGGGGGGACGGAGAAGGCUAUGUUGGCCGGGCGACGGUUGUCCCGGUUUAAGCGUGUAGGUGUGUGUUCCAGGUAAAUCCGGUUCACUUUAACACUGAGGCGUGACGACGAGGCACUACGGUGCUGAAGCAACAAAUGCCCUGCUUCCAGGAAAAGCCUCUAAGCAUCAGGUAACAUCAAAUCGUACCCCAAACCGACACAGGUGGUCAGGUAGAGAAUACCAAGGCGCUUGAGAGAACUCGGGUGAAGGAACUAGGCAAAAUGGUGCCGUAACUUCGGGAGAAGGCACGCUGACACGUAGGUGAAGUGAUUUACUCAUGGAGCUGAAGUCAGUCGAAGAUACCAGCUGGCUGCAACUGUUUAUUAAAAACACAGCACUGUGCAAACACGAAAGUGGACGUAUACGGUGUGACGCCUGCCCGGUGCCGGAAGGUUAAUUGAUGGGGUCAGCGCAAGCGAAGCUCCUGAUCGAAGCCCCGGUAAACGGCGGCCGUAACUAUAACGGUCCUAAGGUAGCGAAAUUCCUUGUCGGGUAAGUUCCGACCUGCACGAAUGGCGUAAUGAUGGCCAGGCUGUCUCCACCCGAGACUCAGUGAAAUUGAACUCGCUGUGAAGAUGCAGUGUACCCGCGGCAAGACGGAAAGACCCCGUGAACCUUUACUAUAGCUUGACACUGAACAUUGAGCCUUGAUGUGUAGGAUAGGUGGGAGGCUUUGAAGUGUGGACGCCAGUCUGCAUGGAGCCGACCUUGAAAUACCACCCUUUAAUGUUUGAUGUUCUAACGUGGACCCGUUACCCGGGUUGCGGACAGUGUCUGGUGGGUAGUUUGACUGGGGCGGUCUCCUCCUAAAGAGUAACGGAGGAGCACGAAGGUUGGCUAAUCCUGGUCGGACAUCAGGAGGUUAGUGCAAUGGCAUAAGCCAGCUUGACUGCGAGCGUGACGGCGCGAGCAGGUGCGAAAGCAGGUCAUAGUGAUCCGGUGGUUCUGAAUGGAAGGGCCAUCGCUCAACGGAUAAAAGGUACUCCGGGGAUAACAGGCUGAUACCGCCCAAGAGUUCAUAUCGACGGCGGUGUUUGGCACCUCGAUGUCGGCUCAUCACAUCCUGGGGCUGAAGUAGGUCCCAAGGGUAUGGCUGUUCGCCAUUUAAAGUGGUACGCGAGCUGGGUUUAGAACGUCGUGAGACAGUUCGGUCCCUAUCUGCCGUGGGCGCUGGAGAACUGAGGGGGGCUGCUCCUAGUACGAGAGGACCGGAGUGGACGCAUCACUGGUGUUCGGGUUGUCAUGCCAAUGGCACUGCCCGGUAGCUAAAUGCGGAAGAGAUAAGUGCUGAAAGCAUCUAAGCACGAAACUUGCCCCGAGAUGAGUUCUCCCUGAGACUUAGAGUCUCCUGAAGGAACGUUGAAGACGACGACGUUGAUAGGCCGGGUG
rnacentral:rRNA from 2 species